GAUGAACGCUAGCGAUGGGCUUAACACAUGCAAGUCGAGGGGCAGCAUGGUCUUAGCUUGCUAAGACUGAUGGCGACCGGCGCACGGGUGCGUAACGCGUAUGCAACUUGCCUCACAGAGGGGGAUAACCCGUCGAAAGACGGACUAAUACCGCGUACGCUCCAGCUUGGGCAUCCAAGCUAGAGGAAAUGAAAUUCGCUGUGAGAUAGGCAUGCGUCCCAUUAGCUAGUUGGUGAGGUAACGGCUCACCAAGGCAACGAUGGGUAGGGGAACUGAGAGGUUGAACCCCCACACUGGUACUGAGACACGGACCAGACUCCUACGGGAGGCAGCAGUGAGGAAUAUUGGUCAAUGGGCGAGAGCCUGAACCAGCCAAGUCGCGUGAAGGAUGACUGUCUUAUGGAUUGUAAACUUCUUUUGUAGGGGAAUAAAGAACGGUACGUGUACCGU
rnacentral:rRNA from 1 species